UCCUACGGGAGGCAGCAGUGGGGAAUAUUGGGCAAUGGGCGCAAGCCUGACCCAGCGACGCCGCGUGAGGGAAGAAGGCCCUAGGGUCGUAAACCUCUGUUGUGUGGGAAGAAGGACGUGACGGUACCAUACGAGGAAGUCCCGGCUAACUACGUGCCAGCAGCCGCGGUAAUA
rnacentral:rRNA from 1 species